AUUAUGCCCCAGCUGAAGGCUGCUCGCUUCGAUCACUGUUUCAACUGGGAGCCAAGGCGCUCGUAAUUCCGUGUUGGAACGUUCCUAGCCAGAUGAUCUCAUCGAACUUCUGCUACCAAGAUCAGCGUCGUCGCGCUCCCACAGCCCAAACUUAAACUCAGGUUACUGAAUAUGUUCUUUUGGGGUGGCAAAGAUGACUGCGUAUACCGCGUCCGGUUCAUUCCAGUCUGACAAAAUGACCCACAAAGCGUACAUUCGGUUCGACUAAACAGCAUUUCUACCCCAGCAGUUUGUUAUUUGCCGUCAGCUAGUCAGCCACUCUGGGUUCGCGGCCCCACAGGGUUGCCCCACUGACCGUAUAGUCCUGAAUUGCACUUGCCGCAUUGGCAAGCAGUGCUACAGCCAUAUGGGUUCAACGUCGGCCUGUCCCGACUGCAAUGAAUUACACUUAAGCAACGAUCGGCCGAUCCCAGGUGCGAUCUGACUUCAGAUGCAUCAUUCACUUCGAUGGCGUCUCGCCGUAACGGUUGGUUGUGUACCUCGCGCCGGGCACGACGUUUGUCACUACCGACGAAAUAAGGACAACUAAUGGAAGUUUCUGGCGUUCGCUAACCAAUCUGACAGAACCGUACAACUACCUUUAUAUGAUAGAAAUGAAUGUAAUGCGAUUGGCGGCUACGCAGAUAUGAAUAUCUAUGCUGUUCGCACAUUUAUCAGCUUAGUAAAGAUACUCGUUCAGAUGCUAGUAGCAAUUCAUUAAGGUAAUGAUUGACUUCAAAGAGUUCAUUAACUCUUGAAGUCAAUUAUAUUCUACGACUUGAACUCAUUAUAAUUCACUGGGUACAGAUAAAACUUGCCAGCAUUAAGAUCAACUACUACAAAGAGACCGGGACCUAUAUAUAUACUAAAUAUCUGGUGGUGUACGGAUGGAUAAAUUAAUUUGGCCUGGCAAUCUACAGGUACAAUGCGAGAUCAGUGGCCGUGUAUUUAUAAUAUGCUACUUACGAUACAUUCUGUAAAUGGUGACGGAGCAAUAUGGCAUUUCUGUUCUGAAGCGAUCACGGGUAAACGCAAGCGUAACUUACCUAUGGUGAGAAUACAUACCGUCUUAGAAUACCGUACACUCAGUGCCAAAAUAUGCAGAGGAGGGUGGACUUAUACGCGCCAAAAAAACAACUGGCGCCGCGGGAAAAAAUUACACUACUAUCUUUGUUAAAGGCUCUUUUGUUAUUUGGCCGAAAAAGCCUCACAACAGCUAAUUCAUUUCCGAGAAAAUAUCAAUUGAAAACAUAUUGUUGACCCGUCU